UACGAGUACCCCGAGCGUUAUCCGGAAUCAUUGGGCGUAAAGGGUGUGUAGGUGGUCUGGUUAGUCUUCUGUUAAAAUCUUGGGCUUAACCCAAGACUUGCAGUGGAAACGGCCAGACUCGAGGAUGCGAGAGGUGAAUGGAACUCAUGGAGUAGGGGUGAAAUCCGUUGAUAUCAUGGGGAACACCAAAAGCGAAGGCAAUUCACUGGCGCAUUUCCUGACACUGAGACACGAAAGCGUGGGUAGCGAACGGG
rnacentral:rRNA from 1 species